UUGGAGGUUGUGUCCCAGGUCAGCUUAGAACAAACCGCUGCAAGCGGAUACCAUUGCGUGAAUGUGACAGUUCCCAGAAGCAUUGGCUAUACUUCUGUGCUUGAAAUUUCUGGAGAAAUAAACACUGCCUCCAUCUCCCAAAAACGCGACCUGAUUCUAGUGUCCGUUAUGGAGACUUUUAUUCAAACCGACAAGUAUCUGUACAUGCCAGGCCAGUGAGUGCAGUUCCGCAUCCUGACCAUUACUGGAACGAGAGCUCUCGUUUCUUAUGAAGAUAUUCCUGAGAUAUGGAUCAACUCACCGAAAGGCAGUAGGUUGACUCAGUGGAAAAACACUCCCAAUCCAGCUGGACUGCUGCAGUUGGACUUCCAGUUAGCUGAGGAGGUGGAAGAGGUACACCUAUGGUCAGCCUGUUAACGGGACCCUCACGCUGUCUUUGGCCAAUUCGUAUUAUUAUUAUUCUUAUUUCUACGACGAUCAAUCAACCCCGUUUCUAUAUGUGGAGAAGGUA